rnacentral:rRNA from 1 species
GUCUACGGCCGUACCACCCUGAAUGCGCCCGAUCUCAUCUGAUCUCGGAAAUGAAGCAGGGUUUGGCCUCGUUAGAGCUUGGAUGGGAGAUAGUGGUCCCCAACCUUUGUGGCAUCAGGGACCGGUGCUC